UACGAAGGGUGCAAGCGUUGUUCGGAAUUACUGGGCGUAAAGGGUUUGUAGGCUGGAAUAUAAGUCAAGUGUGAAAUCCCCGAGCUAAACUUGGGACGUGCAUUUGAAACUGUGUUUCUUGAGUAUCGUAGAGGGUGGUGGAAUUGUUGGUGUAGGAGUGACAUCCGUAGAGAUCAGCAGGAACAUCAGAGGCGAAGGCGACCACCUGGCCGAUUACUGACGCUGAGGAACGAAAGCGUGGGGAGCAAACAGG
rnacentral:rRNA from 1 species